rnacentral:rRNA from 1 species
UACGUAGGGGGCUAGCGUUGUCCGGAAUCAUUGGGCGUAAAGAGCGUGUAGGCGGCCCGGUAAGUCCGCUGUAAAAGUCGGGGGCUCAACCCUCGGAUGCCGGUGGAUACUGUCGGGCUUGAGUACGGAAGAGGCGAGUGGAAUUCCUGGUGUAGCGGUGAAAUGCGCAGAUAUCAGGAGGAACACCAAUUGCGAAGGCAGCUCGCUGGGACGUUACUGACGCUGAGACGCGAAAGCGUGGGGAGCAAACAGG